AGCAUGGUUGUUGAUCACGUGACCCGAUGUUUCUUUCCAGGCCUCUGGAAACACAUCUGUGGGUGCUCAGAUGGAGGACCCUACCGGUCAUCCUACUAACAGAAAAGCCAAAGAGGAAGGUGAUGCUGUGCCUCUUUGUCGUGCCAAACCCUCCCCCAGCUUUAUUAAUCUUCAAGCCAGUGCCCCACCAGCUAUUUUCCUGAACCUCCAGGCAAGCAAGCUGCACUCAGAGCUGACCACAAGCCUAAGGAACGCCUAGGACUCCUGGAAUGUAUGUACGCCAAUCUCCUGCUCCAGACCCAGCUGGCCCAGGAACAGAUGGCUAUUCUGGAACAUGUACAAGCAUCCAUAACAAGACUGGCUCCUGGGAGGGAAAGCAAGGACUCUUCACUCCCAGCCUGAUCUCCUGGUCUGCAGUGGUCUGCGUGCAUCAGCUGCCCCGGUUCAGUGAAUGAAUUAUGAAACAAAGUUAUUGCGUGUGUUCUUUCCCACGUUCUUAUCUUAUAUCCGACAUAUGGUUGCUUAGGUCACAAGUUCAUAGUAAGUGCAGAGCUCUGUACAAGGUAUCUAGAGAUCCACGUUACAGAAGAGAAGUUUGGGGGGAUUUACUGUCUGAUAAGGACACAGAAUUCAUUGCAAAAUGUAGUGGUACUCUAGGGCAGUACAUUGAGGGGUACAGUAAUGGGGAGGGUGAGAGAGGGAGGUUACUAGGGUGCAUCUGGACCAAUCUUGGAAUCUUGCUGGAGGAAGUGGCCUUCUGAUGCCACCUGAUGAAGGGGCAGGAUUGUGUGGCAUGGACAGAUGAGUAAAGCAGCUUCAUG